rnacentral:rRNA from 1 species
AAUAGAUACCCUGGUAGUCCACGCCGUAAACGUUGGGCGCUAGGUGUGGGGUUCUUCCACGGAUUCCGCGCCGUAGCUAACGCAUUAAGCGCCCCGCCUGGGGAGUACGGCCGCAAGGCUAAACUCAAAGGAAUUGACGGGGGCCCGCACAAGCGGCGGAGCAUGUUGCUUAAUUCGACGCAACGCGAAGAACCUUACCAAGGCUUGACAUCGCCGGAAAUCCAUCAGAGAUGGUGGGUCCUUUUUGGGCCGGUGACAGGUGGUGCAUGGCUGUCGUCAGCUCGUGUCGUGAGAUGUUGGGUUAAGUCCCGCAACGAGCGCAACCCUCGUUCCAUGUUGCCAGCAACACCUUCGGGUUGGUUGGGGACUCAUGGGAGACCGCCGGGGUCAACUCGGAGGAAGGUGGGGAUGACGUCAAGUCAUCAUGCCCCUUAUGUCUUGGGCUGCAAACAUGCUACAAUGGCCGGUACAGUGGGCUGCGAUACCGUGAGGUGGAGCGAAUCCCUUAAAGCCGGUCUCAGUUCGGAUCGAAGUCUGCAACUCGU